rnacentral:tRNA from 1 species
GCCGAAGUGGUGGAAUGGCAUACACGUCGGUCUCAAAAACCGAUAAGGGCAACCUUGUAAGGGUUCAACUCCCUUCUUCGGCA